rnacentral:rRNA from 1 species
GACGAACGCUGGCGGCGCGCUUAACACAUGCAAGUCGAACGGAAAGGCCUUCUUUCCCUUGUGUAUUGCGGGGACUCGAGUGGCCAACGGGUGAGUAACACGUGAGCUAUCUUUUCCCAACUUGUGUAUAAGCCUGGGAUACUGGGUCUAAUUCCCGAUAGGACUGCAGGGUGGUGCCUGUGGUGGGAACCGAUGUUCUUGUGGUUGGGGAUGAGCUGGUGGCCUUUCAGCUUGUUGGUGGGGUAAUGGCCUACCGAGGCGGCGACGGGUAGCCGGCCUGGGAGAGUGGACGGCAGAAUUGGGACUGAGACACGGCCCCGACUACAGGGGGAAGAAGCAGAGGGGAGUCAUGCGCAGUGAGCGGGAGCCUGAGGGAGCGAGGCUGAGUGGGGGACGACGGCGUUGGGGUUGUAAACUGCUGGGGACCACGAGCAGGCGACCUGGUUGGAGCGGUGGUGACGGUAGUGGUAGAAGAAGCACCGGCUAACUACGUG